AGUACGAGUGCUGGAGCGGAAGUUCAAAAACCGUUAGCGACGGUUGUUAUUGGCGGACUGGUGACAGCAACGUUCUUAACGUUGUUUGUACUGCC
rnacentral:tRNA from 1 species